UACCCUUGACAUGUACGGAAGCCCGAUGAGAGUUGGGUGUGCCCGAAAGGGAGCCGUAACACAGGUGCUGCAUGGCUGUCGUCAGCUCGUGUCGUGAGAUGUUGGGUUAAGUCCCGCAACGAGCGCAACCCUUGCCAUUAGUUGCCACAUUCAGUUGGGCACUCUAAUGGGACUGCCGGUGACAAACCGGAGGAAGGUGGGGAUGACGUCAAGUCCUCAUGGCCCUUAUGGGUAGGG
rnacentral:rRNA from 1 species